rnacentral:rRNA from 1 species
AUACGGAGGAUCCGAGCGUUAUCCGGAUUUAUUGGGUUUAAAGGGAGCGUAGGUGGACAGUUAAGUCAGUUGUGAAAGUUUGCGGCUCAACCGUAAAAUUGCAGUUGAUACUGGCUGUCUUGAGUACAGUAGAGGUGGGCGGGAUUCGUGGUGUAGCGGUGAAAUGCUUAGAUAUCACGAAGAACUCCGAUUGCGAAGGCAGCUCACUGGACUGCAACUGACACUGAUGCUCGAAAGUGUGGGUAUCAAACAGGAUUAGAUACCCUGGUAGUCCACACAGUAAACGAUGAAUACUCGCUGUUUGCGAUAUACAGUAAGCGGCCAAGCGAAAGCAUUAAGUAUUCCACCUGGGGAGUACGCCGGCAACGGUGAAACUCAAAUGAAUUGACGGGG